rnacentral:rRNA from 1 species
UACGAAGGGGGCGAGCGUUGUUCGGAUUUACUGGGCGUAAAGGGCGCGCAGGCGGCUUAUUUUGUCAGGCGUGAAAGCCCCGGGCUUAACCUGGGAACUGCGUUUGAUACGGAUGGGCUAGAGUUCGGGAGAGGAGAGUGGAAUUCCCAGUGUAGAGGUGAAAUUCGUAGAUAUUGGGAAGAACACCAAUGGCGAAGGCAGCUCGCUGGGACGGUACUGACGCUGAGGCGCGAAAGCGUGGGGAGACAAGAG